AAAAUUUACCCUAUACUAUUUGUAUGUCACGUCAUUUCAAUUGACCCUUUAUGUACUCCACUCUUUCGGUUCAUUUAUUUCGGUUUGUUUUCGAUCUAUUAAAAGGUGCAUUUACUGUGGUUCACCGUAGAUAGGCUCAUAGGAAGGAUAAAGUCUUACCUAUGAUUAAGAAUACCAACAGGAGCACGAACCCU